rnacentral:rRNA from 1 species
UGGGGAAUAUUGCACAAUGGGGGAAACCCGUACGAUGCAGCGACGCCGCGUGAGCGAAGAAGUAUUUCGGUAUGUAAAGCUCUAUCAGCAGGGAAGAAGAAAUGACGGUACCUGACUAAGAAGCCCCGGCUAACUACGUGCCAGCAGCCGCGGUAAUACGUAGGGGGCGAAGCGUUAUCCGGAUUUACUGGGUGUAAAGGGAGCGCAGGCGGUGUGGCAAGUCUGAUGUGAAAACCCGGGGCUCAACCCCGGGCCUGCAUUGGAAACUGUCAUACUGGAGUGUCGGAGAGGUAAGCGGAAUUCCUAGUGUAGCGGUGAAAUGCGUAGAUAUUAGGAGGAACACCAGUGGCGAAGGCGGCUUACUGGACGACAACUGACGCUGAGGCUCGAAAGCGUGGGGAGCAAACAGGAUUAGAUACCCUGGUAGU